AUUGAACGCUGGCGGAAUGCUUUACACAUGCAAGUCGAACGGCAGCACGGGGCAACCUGGUGGCGAGUGGCGAACGGGUGAGUAAUACAUCGGAACGUGCCCAAUCGUGGGGGAUAACGUAGCGAAAGUUACGCUAAUACCGCAUACGAUCUACGGAUGAAAGCGGGGGAUCGCAAGACCUCGCGCGAAUGGAGCGGCCGAUGUCAGAUUAGGUAGUUGGUGGGGUAAAGGCUCACCAAGCCAAUGAUCUGUAGCUGGUCUGAGAGGACGACCAGCCACACUGGAACUGAGACACGGUCCAGACUCCUACGGGAGGCAGCAGUGGGGAAUUUUGGACAAUGGGCGCAAGCCUGAUCCAGCCAUUCCGCGUGCAGGAUGAAGGCCUUCGGGUUGUAAACUGCUUUUGUACGGAACGAAACGGUCUGCCCUAAUACGGCGGGCUAAUGACGGUACCGUAAGAAUAAGCACCGGCUAACUACGUG
rnacentral:rRNA from 1 species